GGUUCUGUGGUGUAGUGGUUAUCACGUCUGUUUAACACGCAGAAGGUCGCGAGUUCGAACCUCGCCAGAACCU
rnacentral:tRNA from 1 species